rnacentral:lncRNA from 1 species
CCAAUCAGUAAAUUCAAUGCAGAAAGAUAAAUAUAUUGUUACAUGUUUGUACAAAACCCCUUUUUACAUUUGCUUUGGUACUGAAGAUUGGAUGAAUCCAGGGGUGCUUAAUCACUGAGACACAUCUCCAACCCUUUUUAUUUCUUGUUAUUUUGAGACAGUGCCUAGAUGAGUUGCUGAAGAUGAUCUUGAACUUGUGGUUCCUCCUGCCUCAGUCUCUCAAGUCACUGGAAUUACAGGCAUGCACCACUAUGCCUGGCUGUUUAUAACACUUCUUUCGUUGAACAAGUUUAUCUGAGAGAAAACAGCUCUUCAAGUUUUCAACGCGUGUCUUCAUGUUUCUGCACAAAUGCUCGUGCUUUUGAUCCUGACCAUCAGCAAAGCUGCAAAGUACCUGGAGCAUCCUUAAUUGAUAAGUCAUUUUACUUUGUUGUCAUUGCAAGUGUUUUGUCUCCUUGUUUUUGUGGAUGAAGUAGGAGGUUUUGGCUGUGUUCAGUCAACUGAUAGAAUUUAGUGUAAAAUUGAUUAAAUGCAGCUCCAAAUUACCAGA